rnacentral:rRNA from 1 species
AUUGAACGCUGGCGGCAUGCUUUACACAUGCAAGUCGAACGGCAGCACGGGCUUCGGCCUGGUGGCGAGUGGCGAACGGGUGAGUAAUAUAUCGGAACGUACCCAGAAGUGGGGGAUAACGUAGCGAAAGUUACGCUAAUACCGCAUACGAUCUAUGGAUGAAAGCAGGGGACCGCAAGGCCUUGUGCUCCUGGAGCGGCCGAUAUCUGAUUAGCUAGUUGGUGAGGUAAAGGCUCACCAAGGCGACGAUCAGUAGCUGGUCUGAGAGGACGACCAGCCACACUGGAACUGAGACACGGUCCAGACUCCUACGGGAGGCAGCAGUGGGGAAUUUUGGACAAUGGGCGCAAGCCUGAUCCAGCAAUGCCGCGUGAGUGAAGAAGGCCUUCGGGUUGUAAAGCUCUUUUGACAGGGAAGAAACGGUAGAGGCUAAUAUCCUUUGCUAAUGACGGUACCUGAAGAAUAAGCACCGGCUAACUACGUG